AGAGUUUGAUCAUGGCUCAGGACGAACGCUGGCGGCGUGCUUAAUACAUGCAAGUCGAACGGAAUUUAGUUGGUGGUAACAUUGGCUAAAUUUAGUGGCGAACGGGUGCGUAACACGUGAGCAACCUGCCCCGAAGUCUGGGAUAACAGCGGGAAACUGCUGAUAAUACCGGAUAUUCUCGUUAUUUCACAUGGAGUGACGAGGAAAGUUUUUCGCUUCGGGAGGGGCUCGCGGCCUAUCAGCUUGUUGGUGAGGUAAUGGCUCACCAAGGCUACGACGGGUAGCUGGUCUGAGAGGACGAUCAGCCACACUGGGACUGAGACACGGCCCAGACUCCUACGGGAGGCAGCAGUAGGGAAUAUUGCGCAAUGGGCGAAAGCCUGACGCAGCAACGCCGCGUGGGGGAUGAAGGCCCUCGGGUUGUAAACUCCUUUCAGUGGGAACGAAAUUGACGGUACCCACAGAAGAAGCUCCGGCCAACUACGUGCCAGCAGCCGCGGUGAUACGUAGGGAGCAAGCGUUGUCCGGAUUCAUUGGGCGUAAAGAGCUCGUAGGCGGUUUAGUAAGUCAGGUGUGAAACCUCCAGGCUCAACCUGGAGACGCCACCUGAUACUGCUAUGACUUGAGUUUGGUAGGGGACCAUGGGAUUCCUGGUGUAGCGGUGAAAUGCGCAGAUAUCAGGAGGAACACCAGUAGCGAAGGCGGUGGUCUGGGCCAAUACUGACGCUGAGGAGCGAAAGCGUGGGGAGCGAACAGGAUUAGAUACCCUGGUAGUCCACGCCGUAAACGUUGGGCACUAGGUGUGGGGACCUAUCGACGGUCUCCGUGCCGCAGCUAACGCAUUAAG
rnacentral:rRNA from 1 species